rnacentral:lncRNA from 1 species
GGCAUCAGAUCUUGUUACAGAUGGGUGUGAGCCACCAUGUGGUUGUUGGGAUUUGAACUCAGGACCUUCAGAAGAGCAGUCAGUGCUCUUAACCGCUGAGCCAUCUCUCCAGCCCCAGUUCAAAAUUUCUGAAACACUCAAAACCUUUCCCUGAGUAUACUGACAAAUUAUAAAAGAUCUUCUAGCAGAGCCCCCUAGUGGUGAUAAGAGGGGGUUCUACUAUAUACUGAACACUACAAAGGAUUUUUGCCAUAAUAUAAAUCUAGAAAUGUUGUAGGUAUUUGUGCCAAUACAACCUAAACACUUUCUAUCCCACUCUGCCUAACCUCAGGAGACAUAAGGAUACUCAGACAGGGGGAACUAGUUAUAAAGGUCGGGUGAGUUCUUGGAGAGAAAGAGACUCGAUAAUAUUUUUCUCUGCUGAAGGUUGAACCCAGGGCCUGUGCAAGCCAAGUAUGUGAACUGUGACUGACCUAGAGCUCAGCCAAGCUGUAUGUGUGUAUGCUCUGUGUGUGUUUAUGUGCUCUUGUUAUACAACCUAGGCUGGCCACAAACUAAAACCUUUUCCGACUCGGCUUCCCCAAUGCUCAGACUACAGACAGACUCCUCCACACCAGGCCAAGGCUUGUGAAUUUUUUAAAUGCAAGUAAUUGUUUAACUACAAUCCCACUUUUCAAAUUUAUUCUAUUAACAUUCUAGAGAACCAAAAGAAUGUAACUAGUGAUAUCUGAAUAGCUUCCUGAGUAGUAGUAUAACAAUUUUUAUGUCUUGGUCUUGGCAAAGCACCACAAUUUUCAAUGUUCGCAUUAACAGGUGUGUAAAGAGCCUAUUUAAAUCUCUGCUCUCUUUGCAACUUAUCUGUAAAUUAGUAAUUCUCAACUGGGUGAGGUGACUUACUCCCUUAACCCCAGCUACUUGGCAAGCUAGGUCAGGGGAGUUUGACGUAGCCUAGAGAAAAACUUAUGGUCAGAGAAUGAAAUCUGUAGUCUGGGUGGAGACCUGACAUUCCAGCUAGGCUGGUUCAGUAGCUUUGGCUAAGGGACCACCUUAAGCCCCACUAGAGAUAGGCGGAAUAAUUAGUUCUCUAAUGAGAUGCUGUACUUUUCCGUCCCAGAAGCCCCACCCCUUGCACAGUAGGAGCUGAGUGGCAGCUGUGCUUCUCAGUUUCCCCACUUUUCCAAGUAUUGCUUUUCUUCUUUCUGUCUGCUAAGUAUGCGUCUCCUUAACACCUGUGCUCUUUCUCCCAGCACUUUGGGCUUCCUUACUCUUUCUGUAAGGCUUGCCACUGUGUGGGUGCUUAUUCUCCAUGACCUCGAUGUCACCUUAAAUGGCUCCCCGCCCUCCUUAUCUCCUCCUGAUAGAUGCUGAAAUGUAUAGCUUGUCUGUCUUGAGGUUUUUCUUUUCUUUUUGUUUUUGAAACAGAGUCUCAAUGUAGCUUUGACAGGCCCAGAGCUCAACAGCCGACGGGCUGGCCUCAAAAAAGAUUCUCCUGCCUCUGCCUUCUGAGUGCUUGCAUUAAACACACACCUCUUUUUUGGUUGGUUAGUUGGUUGGUUUUAGUUUUGAGUUUUAGGGGAUUUUUUUGGUUUUUUGAGAAAGGGUUUUUCUGUGUUUGGUUUGGCUGUCCUGAAACUCACUCUCUAGACCAGGCAGUCUGGCCUUGAACUCAAGAGAGUUCACCUGUCUCUGCCUCCCAGGUUCUAGGAGUAAGGGCAGACCACAGAAGGUGACCCCAAUAAUAUCAAGUCCUUCACUCAAAAAAAAAAUUUUUUUUUAAUUAUUCCCAAAGAAAGAAUUGGGGAGUCAAUUCUCUACUUUUACCAUAUGAGUGACAGGGUCAUCAGGCUUAGCAGUGUUAGAAAUAAGUUCAGGGGUGGACAAAAGAGCCCACUAUUCAAACUGAAGAGUCUGAAAAAGGCAAACUUUACCCUUUACCAAUAAGAUGUCCUCAGAAGCAUCAACACAUUGAGAUAGGAAGUGCAUUUGGUAGAGCCUGUGUCUCUUCCCCAUUGGCUGGCUGGGGUCCCGAUUCACAGUCUUAAUUAGAAUGAAAGGACUUGGUGCAAAGGAAAAGAAUGAAAGGGGUCACUACCCUGGGCCAUCAAGUUCCUGCAAUACUGCAAGCCUUGGACCUUUGUGUAAAAAGUCAGGAAGGGGAUAAAAACACAUGAAUUCCUAGUUGUAAACACAAGUUGUAUAAUAUUGACUAGAAAAAGGACUCAUAUUUGGUAUUUCUACAGCAACAAGCAACUUUACCCGCUGAAUGGUCUCACCAGCCUCUAGAGCUGGUAAACUACUUCCUCUAGCGCCACCUUCAAAAAUGUCUAUCAAUUCAUCCAUAAUGCCAUGAAAUUAUAAACCCAUCAUUGGGUCAAUAUAUUGAUUAACUCAGAGCCCUGAUGAUCCCACUCAAUGAUUUGAUCCACUACUUGGGUCUUCAAAAUAUAAAUGUUUUCAGGGAUUAUGCUUCGUGUCCGAGCUAUAAUAGAAACUGGAUAAUCUAGGCAUAAAUUUUUUUGCAACCGACUUUUAGUAAAGGUGCACCUCUCUAGCCCCCACCCCAGCAGUGGUCGUGGGAGGUGUGGGGGAAGUGGACCUGUUAACCACUAGUUAUUUGGGGGCGAGCUCAAUCUUCUUUAGUAGCAAUCCAGUCCCAUAGCAAACACCUAACGUGACUCAGCAGCUGCAGUCCAGUCCUCUCAGCAGGCAGACACCAGGCACGAACCAGCAGCUGUAGUCAAUCCUGAAGAAACCGCAAGGCUCACCAAACAGCCUGAGGUGAGACGGCUGAAGUGGCAAGCUGCCACAGGAACAUCACAAGCAGUUCUUGGGCCAGUUUCUCUCAAUGGCUGUGUUACCACUAGUUGAGCUCAACAUCUCCAUUUAAGGAGAAUCAAUACAUGUGUGUCCUUAGCAAAGAAUAGUGAGGCAGAGCAAACCAAACCAAUGCUCAGUGCUCGUCCCCCACUGUCUGUAGUGUCAUACACCCCUUCCUUCAUCACGGUCCUUUCACCUGUCCAUUAGAGUAGAACAUCCUUUCACCUGUGUGCCCCAGCAAAACAUCAUUUGACAUAACUGACUUCCCAAACAAGCCAGAAGUUUUCACUUCAGUGUAAUACAGUUCAAUCUUUAUUAAUAUAUUACAUAUAUUACCAUUUACAUGGCAGGGGAGAAUGAGUUUGUAUGUGUAAUGUGUGUGAAUCUUUAAAUAGUACUGGGACAUAUGUAAAAAGUAAACACAUCCUUGAGAAACAAACUUUUAAGGAUUUGGGGAAAGAAAAGUAGGAUAGGGCCUGUCAGUGAGUGCUGAGUAAUUGAGCUCUGUCCCCAGAACUCUCAUGGUAGGGAAGAACCAACCGACUCUUGCUGUUCGUCUGACCUCCACACAUGCCCUUGGCAUGCACAUGUGUAUACACAUAACACACACACACAAAUACAUGGAAAAGUCACCAUAUAACCUGUUGUAUUAGCAUUUAUUUUUGCUUAUUUGAGGCAGGGUCUCAAUAUGUAGUGCAAGGUGACCUCCAACUUGACCCUCCUGCAUCAGCUUCCCAAGUACAGGGAUUUUAGAUAUGUAACUACACAUUUGCCUGGAGAUUGUUUUCUUAUUGUUCUCCUGACUUUAACAAAAUGGGAAAGCAUUUGUGUGAUUGAGUUGUGAAACUAAAAGCCACUUUAUUCAUGGGACAUGAUUUUUACUGUAAAUAAUGACUGAGCAUGCUAUAUUCAUGCAGACUGGGUUAUUUAGUAGAUAUUUAGUCUAAGAGAAACACAAGGUUGGGAUAUACCUCCAAGGUAUAGUACUUUUCUGGCAUGCACAGUUCCCUGGGUUUGAUCACUAACAUCACAAAAAAAGUAUUUUGUUGAAGGCAGUGGUGGUGCACACCUUUAAUCCCAGCACUUGGGAGGCAGAGGCAGGUGGAUUUCUGAGUUCGAGGCCAGCCUGGUCUUCAGAGUGAGUUCCAGGACAGCCAGGGCUACACAGAGAAACCCUGUCUCGAAAAACAAAACAAAACAGCAAAAAAAAAUAUAUAUAUAUUUGUUGAAUACAUUCAACUUCUAACUGAAAAUUAUGAUUUUUUUUUUUUUUUAGAAAAUAUUAGUCUUGGUGAUACACAUGACUAUAGUCUUAGCACUUGAGAGAUUUUUAAAAAGCAGAAAAACCAUCCUGGGCUAUUUGAGGGCCUAUCUC